UUUUUUUUAAAUUUUAAAUGACCUAAAAGUGUAUUUUAGUCCUUUAAAAUCAAACUUAAAUUUAGUAUUAUAUUUCAAUUUAUUAAAAUCAAAUCCAAUUUUUUCUUUCUAAUUUAAUAAUACAAACUUAAUUAUAUAGUUGCUAUUUUUUAUUUUAAAAUUACCCAAAAGUGUAUUUUAGUGUAUUUGAAGCACUAAAAGUGUAUUUGGCUUAGUCAUGGAAAUGAAUCAUCUCCAGUUUUUUCAACACUUGACAAAAUACAGUGCAAUCUCUCACCUUUGAUUUUAAUAGUGGGACCAAAAAUAAAUAAGAGAAAGAAUGUGGUGAAUGGUUAGAUUAAACACUGCACACCAUCCAGUUUUUUAUUCACUGGAGAGGAUCCACUCCCCUUAGUCAUCUGCAGGUUAGUGUGGGUACCCUUCUCGCAUUCACUGCUGUGGCAAUAUCUGUGUUAAUUCUAAGAUAUAUCCCUCCAGGAACCAAUUAUCUCAGUUGAUUCUUCUGAGAAACAUAAAUGUCUAGUUGUGAAAGAAGAUGUAUCAGCUGACUUCAUUUCUAAAUAUCUUUCUGCUGGCAACUGUCUGGUACAUGGGCGCGUGUUUCUAUAUGGCUGGCAAGUGGACGACGCCUAUCAUGCAUCGACAAGUUGUCUUGCUUAAUCUUGGUGGCAGCCCAAACUGCAGCUCCACUUUUGUUGUAUAUAUCUGUAAUUUCUGUACAGAAAAUGCAUAUAAUAUCGAGAUUCAAUAGUUUAGCAAUUGUAGUGUGGAAUAUGAUUUCCUAUAGCAACAGUUGUAUUAUGCCUUAAACUACAGCUGUAAUAUUCUUUUUAUACGGAUUAUACCUUCUGUAUCAUCCUAAAUGCAAAUAUAAUUUAAAAAGUUGAUAACGCAAAUGAGCAAACAUCUCCUCAGAUUUCAAAUUUUCAUUCCAUAUUGAUGUAGCCAAAUCUUGAUACUACAGUGAUUUCCAGGGCAAUUAGAAUGUUUAAUCUGUUUUUCUUUUGUCA